AAAACACCGCUUACUGCAAAACAAAACUCAAUUCUCUUCUAAAAACUAAAAUUAAAACCUGUAACUCCCCUUUCUUCUCAAAAACCCAAAAAUCAAAACCAUCUCCUUCCCCCAAAAUCAAAAUCCAAAACUUAGAUGAGAAAGAAGCAAGCGAUCAGAGGUGCCAUUCUUACGCAAUCUCCGAUUCUCUCACAUAAUGGUCAUCGAUUCAUCAGACCAACUCAUCCUCAACGCUACUACUACUACAGAAGAAAACCCUAAACAAACCCUAGAUGACGAUAGUACUACUACUGCUGUCAUGCCCACCAGAUUGCCUUGAAGAAGAAGAAGAGGAAGAACCAACCGAUGAGGCUUCCAAAUUAGCCUUCUGUAACCACCGUCGAUUUUGAUGCGAAGUACGACAAGGAUUUAAAGAGCACUGUAGCCGCUGCCUGUAGUAGGGAUGUUGUUGAUGUGGAUCCGGCUUCCAAUAUUCAGAAGAAGAUCCAUCGUGUAGAGUGAUUCGGCAUUUCUUUGGAACUGACCGAGGAGGAGAAGCAAAAUUCAUGAAAAGAAAGAAUUUGUAGCAAUGUAUAGAUCUUCUGAAGUUAGAUAUGCGACUAUUAUGUACCUCUUUAAAAGGUAAUAUAUUUACUUCAUUAUUUUUUUUUGAUAAGUAUUUACUUCAUUAAAAUUUUACAUGAUUAAUAAUGUUUUUUUAAUGGAUUGUGGCAACAUAGUUGAGAUUUCUAUACGAACUAUAGAUGAAGUAAAUGCUUAAAGAAAGUUAGAGAUAAUGGAUGCAACCAAAGUAUUUGGUUUUGUGUUUGUAAAAUAGAGAAAAAAAGAAAGUUUAUUAAUGGCAUAGUAUGUGGAGGUUGCCGAGCAUUAGAAACCUCAGUGCAAGUAUAUAUAAUGUGUUAGUGUUACUUAUUCAUUUUUGCAUCUAGGUUUGUUUCUAUUUCAGUUUCUAGGAAUUAGGUUGUUAUUUGGUGGAUUAUUUUUGUGUUUUGGGGAAGUGAUGGUGUGAAUAUGCAGCUGAUGUUUUUGUCUGAAA